GACAGAGGCCUCGAGCGUUAGGCGGAAUCACUGGGCUUAAAGCGUGUGUAGGCGGAUCGUUAAGUACCUUGUGAAAUCCCACGGCUCAACCGUGGAACGGCUGGGUAUACUGGCGGUCUUGGGCCAUUCAGGGGCGACUGGAACAAGCGGUGGAGCGGUGAAAUGCGUAGAUAUCAUUUGGAACGCCAAUGGUGAAAACAGGUAGCUGGGGAUGUGCUGACGCUGAGACACGAAAGCCAGGGGAGCGAACGGG
rnacentral:rRNA from 1 species